rnacentral:rRNA from 1 species
GCCCUACGGGGGGCAGCAGUGGGGAAUAUUGGACAAUGGGGGAAACCCUGAUCCAGCGACGCCGCGUGAGUGAAGAAGUAUUUCGGUACGUAAAGCUCUAUCAGCAGGAAAGAAAAUGACGGUACCUGACUAAGAAGCCCCGGCUAACUACGUGCCAGCAGCCGCGGUAAUACGUAGGGGGCAAGCGUUAUCCGGAUUUACUGGGUGUAAAGGGAGCGUAGACGGAUAAGCAAGUCUGAUGUGAAAAUCCGGGGCCCAACCCCGGAAUUGCAUUGGAAACUGCAUAUCUAGAGUGUCGGAGAGGC